rnacentral:rRNA from 1 species
AGCAGCCGCGGUAAUUCCAGCUCCAAUAGCGUAUAUUAAAGUUGUUGCAGUUAAAAAGCUCGUAGUUGAAUUUCGGGAUCAGCAGGUUGGUCGUGCCUCUGGUAUGCACUGGUUUCGCUGAUUCCUCCUUUCUGAAGAACUGUAAUGUCAUUAAUUUGGUGUUGCAGGGAAACAGGACUGUUACUUUGAAAAAAUUAGAGUGUUUAAAGCAGGCUAACGCUUGAAUACAUUAGCAUGGAAUAAUGAAAUAGGACGUUUGAUCCUAUUUUGUUGGUUUCUAGGAUUGACGUAAUGAUUAAUAGGGAUAGUUGGGGGCAUUAGUAUUCAAUUGUCAGAGGUGAAAUUCUUGGAUUUAUUGAAGACUAACUACUGCGAAAGCAUUUGCCAAGGAUGUUUUCAUUAAUCAAGAACGAAAGUUAGGGGAUCGAAGACGAUCAGAUACCGUCGUAGUCUUAACCAUAAACUAUGCCGACUAGGGAUCGGAUGAUGUUAAUUUUUUAAUGAGCUCA